rnacentral:tRNA from 1 species
AAGAGUGAUACUAUUGACACUGCUAAUGUCUAUAUCUAGACAUAACACCUCUAGCA